rnacentral:rRNA from 1 species
GCCAGACUCCUACGGGAGGCAGCAGUGGGGAAUAUUGCACAAUGGGGGGAUCCCUGAUGCAGCGACGCCGCGCGGGUGAAGGAGUACUUCGGUACGUAAAGCCCUAUCAGCAGGAAAGAAAAUGACGGUACCUGACUAAGAAGCCCCGGCUAACUACGUGCCAGCAGCCGCGGUAAUACGUAGGGGGCAAGCGUUAUCCGGAUUUACUGGGUGUAAAGGGAGCGUAGACGGCAGUGCAAGUCCGGAGUGAAAGCCCGGGGCUCAACCCUGGGACUGCUCUGGAAACUGACAGGCUGGAGUGUCGGAGAGGCAGGCGGAAUUCCUAGUGUAGCGGUGAAAUGCGUAGAUAUUAGGAGGAACACCGGUGGCGAAGGCGGCCUGCUGGACUGUGACUGACGUUGAGGCCCGAAGGCGUGGGGAGCAAACAGGAUUAGAUACCCUCGUA